UACGUAGGGUGCAAGCGUUAAUCGGAAUUACUGGGCAUAAAGCGUGCGCAGGCGGUUGUGCAAGACAGAUGUGAAAUCCCCGGGCUCAACCUGGGAACUGCAUUUGUGACUGCACGGCUGGAGUGCGGCAGAGGGGGAUGGAAUUCCGCGUGUAGCAGUGAAAUGCGUAGAUAUGCGGAGGAACACCGAUGGCGAAGGCAAUCCCCUGGACCUGUACUGACGCUCAUGCACGAAAGCGUGGGGAGCAAACAGG
rnacentral:rRNA from 1 species